rnacentral:rRNA from 1 species
GACGAACGCUGGCGGCGUGCUUAACACAUGCAAGCCGAACGCUGAAGCUCAGCUUUUGUUGGGUGGAUGAGUGGCGAACGGGUGAGUAACACGUGAGUAACCUGCCUCCUUCUUUGGGAUAACGCCCGGAAACGGGUGCUAAUACUGGAUAUUCACUGGUCUUCGCAUGGGGGUUGGUGGAAAGGGUUUUUCUGGUGGGGGAUGGGCUCGCGGCCUAUCAGCUUGUUGGUGGGGUGAUGGCCUACCAAGGCUUUGACGGGUAGCCGGCCUGAGAGGGUGACCGGUCACAUUGGGACUGAGAUACGGCCCAGACACCUACGGGAGGCAGCAGUGGGGAAUAUUGCACAAUGGGCGCAAGCCUGAUGCAGCGACGCCGCGUGAGGGAUGGAGGCCUUCGGGUUGUGAACCUCUUUCGCUCAUGGUCAAGCCGCAACAAUGGUUGUGGUGAGGGUAGUGGGUAAAGAAGCGCCGGCUAACUACGUG